AGCUAUGUACAUACAUCAAUUACGUACCCACUGGGAAAAUAGCACACCCACAACACCUGCAAUCGCGCUUUUCGCCUAACAAAAGUUCAAACAGACAGCCGCACAUUCGCACUUCUCGGCAAACGAUCUUGUCCCGGUUUCUCUCUGAACUUUAUCGCUAAUUAUGUUCAUAUGUACGUAGAUAUGUAAAUAUAUAAAUCACUUAGCACAAUCACCGAACUAUCGUAUCGCCAGCAAGCCUCGACUGAAGCUUACCAUUUCAACGAUUUUUGAGAUUGCUGCCUCCGCCUCCGUCUCCAUCACAGCUCUGGAGCCGGUAACGCUACUAUGCUCACGGAAUGAAUUAAGAAAUUUGAUUAGCAGGAAGGAACUCGAUUUGGUUAUCUGAAUACAGUGAAGGUUCCAUAAGCUCAAUAAGAGCGGACGGGGGUAAAUGAAACUGUAAGAUAUUUGUUAUUUUUUUACUGUUUUUGUAAAACAUUAUAGCUAUUAAUCUUUUAAAACUGCGAUUAUUAAAUUUUACACAGCAAAAGUAUGCAAAUAAUCAGGCAUAUUCUGCAUGUCACUUCCGAGCCAAUUUCAACCAAUGCCACUUUGAAUUGAAUGGGGUUGAAAUUCACUCGGAAGUGGAUUGUAGAACCUGCCAAACUGUUGAUUAAAUGCAGUUCAUACAUAAGCAUACAUGAAAUUACAGCAACUAGGCUGAAAUUUUACCUCACAUGGAUGUGCCUAUGCAAAGACUUCAAUGGCAGGCUUAUACCCACUAAGGAUCAUAGACUAGUGGUCUAAUUUAAGGAAUAAAAGUAUUGAGCACUGGGCUAAGCGAUGGGUGGAUUUGGAGACCAAGGUCGACCGCCUGAACGAUUCGAUAAUGAACUAGUGGGAAUUAGAUUCCGACAAGUAGCGCCAAAAGGAAACCAUAGUGAUAUUCAAUCUUUCAACUUCUAACUCUCAGAAAAUAGGUCAACAAAGAGUGAUUUUCUUGGCUCCAGAGGCAGCCAGACUUCACAGAACCUUAGCUAGGUUAACAGUCAAACGUCCAAUUGCGACACAACUUUCAAAUAACCAAAGUUAGGGAAAGGGCUCUAACCAUUCAAGCGAUUCACUUCCUAGUAGCCAUCGUGGAAAACAAGGAGAUUGCAAGACGCCUGUUUUUCUAGUCAAUAGGUUCAUAUGAGCAGUACAAAUCCCCAGAUGUGUACGGCAAAUGGCCAGUUAUUCUCCAGAAACGCCAUCUCAGUCUCAGUCUUCUCACCCCGUUCAUAAUCAGAUCAAUGCGGAGAAGCCUUGCAAUGACAUAUCAUCCCUCAACUAAGCAAAAAAUAAUAAAAAUAAAAAUACUGCAUUCUAACCAAAUCUGUUCGACCGAGCUGUAUAAUAGCUUUUGUCUUUAGGGAAAUGUAGAAAUUUAUAGACAACAAAACUAGAUCAACCACUCUGAUGACUGCUCGAGCACAAUAUUGUCCAGGAGAAAAAUCGUAUACGGAAAACCAACAUAUCGUCGCUACUAUGUCAAACUAUCGAAUG